rnacentral:lncRNA from 1 species
AGAGAAGCAAAGAAAUGGAUUGCAGGUAGGUGUUUCUUUAGAAAGACCUGAUAAAAAGCCCUGAUUUACCUUGGUUUUAAUGGACUUCAACCAAAAUUCCUACCAGGACAUAAAUGUGAACUCAUUCCUUUCCUUCCCAUUUCACUUUUUUUCCCAUCCCAGAAAUGACACAGGCAGAGAGGUUGGAAGCAGCCAAUUCCCAUGAAUAAGUGGAGGAGAGACCCCAUUUCAUCCUGGCAGUCAUUCCAGAAACAGGGCCAAUUCAUUAGGCAGAGAUCUCCUCAUCCCUGAGCAGAACAGCCUGUUCUGCCUGCCCUGAGUGCCUUCUGCUCUCCCAGCACCCGCAGAGGUUGCUGCUUGGAGAGGGACAGCCUUGGAAUCCUACCCUGAGAUAUUUAUAUGGAUUUCUGCAAAGAAAAAAAAAAAAAGAAAGAAAAAAAGGCUCGUUUUGUUGUAAAAUUUUUAAUUUUUCACCUCUCCCAUCCACCUUCUUCCCCAUCCACAGAAAGCAUCCAACCUGGGAGGAUUCACCCAAAAAGAAUGGUGUGUUUGUUUUGCAGUUAUAUUGUUUUUUCUUUGGAUUGUUUUUGGUUUUUUUUUUUUAAGGAUUGCUUUUCAGCAGAAAAGCAAAACUACCCCUGGGAAAAAAGUUAAUUUUCCCUCCCCUCAUCCCUGUCCCUUUGCAGCCUCGGGUUGGGCUGGGCACUGCCAGCCCCAGCCCUGCUGUGUCCUGCUGCUGGCAGUGGUACCCAGCCGAGAAGGACCGGGAAAACCGGGCUUGGGAACUUCCCCAGUGAUGGAUUUUGCUGCCAUCCCAUGAUCACCGCCCUCCAAAGCCACUGGACUGCUCUCAAGGCAGGGGCUUUGAUGGUCCCCCCAAAACAGGAGCUGGACAAACUCCCUCCGAGCCAGCAGAGAGUGGUGGAAGCCAAGAGAAAGGCACAGGGAUUCCUCCUCCCAUCUCCUGCUGAAACACAAGGACAGGUCAUGAAGGUGCUGAAAAGAAGCUGUGUCAGGGAUGAGGGAAAGUGCAAGCACACUCUUGGAAAGCAGCAGAGCAGAAGUGAUCUGGUCCUGCCAAGGAUGUGUGGAUGGGAAACUCUGGAAGAAAGACAGGAGGAACUUCUGGCCAUGCCUCACCUUGGAUACUCACCCACCCCACAGCCUGGCUCCAGGACAUGUACGGUCACCUUCACUUCUACUGGAAUUUUUAAAAAUUCUUUCCAAAAUUUGCUGCAAUCUUUGGAGUUCUCUUAUCAUGCACAUCUUCUUCCACCCACUCUGGACACCAGAACGACGAUAUCACAGUGAAUUACAUCCUGCUCCAUUCAAAUUCAAGUGGAAGAAAUCCAGUGAAGAGCUGAGCAGACACAUUUUGCCACCCUACAUCAGCUUUCCAUGCUGGAUUCACAUCUCCCUUUCUUCCCCCUUUUUCUCCUCCUUUUCUGGGUUUUUUUUUUCUUCUCACUGCACAUCCUGAUCCAGGGAAUAAAUCAGAUGGACUGAACUUCGUUACUUGGGAA